CUAAUCAAGCCUGGGCAAUGGCGGGCGCCCCUCCCCCAGCCUCGCUGCUGCCUUGCAGUUUGAUCUCAGACUGCUGUGCUAGCAAUCAGCGAGACUCCAUGGGCGUAGGAACCUCCAAGCCAGGUGUGGAAUAUAAUCUCGUGGUGCGCCGUUUUUUAAGCCCUUCGGAAAAGCGCAGUAUUCGGGUGGGAGUGACCCAAUUUUCCAGGUGCCGUCAGUCACCCCUUUCUUUGACUCGGAAAGGGAACUCCCUGACCCCUUGCGCUUCCCAAGUGAGGUAAUGCCUCGCCCUGCUUCGGCUCGCGCACGGUGCGCGCACCCACUGACCUGCACCCACUGUCUGGCACUCCCUAGUGAGAUGAACCCGGUACCUCAGAUGAAAAUGCAGAAAUCACCGUCUUCUGCGUCGCUCACGCUGGGAGCUGUAGACUGGAGCUGUUCCUAUUCGGCCAUCUUGGCUCCUCUCCUCAGCGGAAUCUAGUUUGUUCCCAAGUUACCAUAUCUCAGAGGCAUAUAAUGCUGUCCAAUUCUCUUGAAAACAAAAAUAAUUCAAGCUCCAAUAAUAAAGAUUUUUCUGCUUUGUUCUUCUGUGUCCCUUGUGCUGAGAAAACUCAUCUAGCAUAUGGGUUUUGACUCUUGGGUCUGAAAAAGGCAGCGAUCCCUGCUAAAUUCUGAACACUGACAUUAGUCGUCAGCCUUGGGAGAAGCAACAAUCACAACGAUCUGCUUUUUAAUGAGGCAAAGGACCAGAAAUUAAGACUAUU
rnacentral:lncRNA from 1 species